ensembl:lncRNA
AAAGUGCGACCGUCAAUAAGAUAUAGACUCUUAAAGUAGCUAGUUACGAGCUAGCAAAACAAUGCAGCAACGUACAUCUUGACAUCUUUUACGUGUUUCCAACAUGAAUUUCCAUCAGUUUGUGUGCAUGUUGAACAUAAAUACGAGCGAUUAACACCCGCCAUUUUUUAAACCAUGAAACAUUAAUAAAAACAUACAUCGAAGAAGCAAGCUAGCAUGCUAUCUGUGAGUUGCUAGCACCCACUUUAGCACACAGUUCACGGUUCCCAGCCUAAUUUCUCUCUAUUAAAAUGCGAUUCCUGUCCUGUGAUGAUUCCUCUCCAUCGGAUUAUUUUGCUCUCGAGAUUUUUGAAGUUGAUUGCAAAACACUGCGUCUCCUUUUGUGCUUCUUUUUGUAAUUUUUUUGGACCUCCGCCAUUCAUUACUCGAGAAAACUUAAUGCAUAGUGUCUGUCAUGCCAUAUGUCACGUGACUUACAAGAAAAAACACCAGGGAGGAGGAGGAGCAGCUCGGAUUUAAAGUCACAGGCAGUCAACAAGCUUUUGCCGUCUCGCUCUUGCAGCUUUUCAUAGAAUAUCGUGAUAAAACAAUCUCUCAAAAAUGACAGAUCGUCAGCUUUGGAGAUCGUAUCAUGAUUUUAUAUCGUCAUAUCGCCCACCCCUAAUACAAAUAGUUAAAUUAGAAAUGGUAAACAAUCAAAAUUCUUCUUUAUUAAAUUUUUUUCCAAAUACAAAUCCUUAUUUUAACAUUAAACACAACUUUUCCCAACGAUGCCUGAGACCAGGGGUACACAUUCUGGCAGUUGGAACGUAUCUUAGCACAACACCGGCCCCGGCAGCAAACGCCAUCAGUCCCGGCCACCAGAGUACCCGGCCCCAACAAGAAACUCCUCGGGUCUGGGAUGCCAGCCGCCAUGGCCCCGGCCAUAAUAAUGGUUCGCACAUUUUCCAGCCAAAUGUGUGCUGCAAAAGCUACUUGAAAAAGAUACCUGCACAUGUGGUGCAGAGCUUCAGAUCCACGAGCAUCCACUGUUCCAAGAGAGGUGUUAUUAUUACAACGAUAAAGAACCGAGACAUCUGUGUUGACCCGUCCUCUGAGUGGGUGAAGAAACUCGGGAAUGGCUACCAGUGAGGCACCUCUCUACUUUGACCCAGAAUUCAUAGUUACUGGAUCUAUAAGCCUUUACAGUUAAGCAGAGAAGACACAGCUAGAUCAUUUAAGGGCUGCUUUAUGUUUACAGCUAAAGAAAACGCUCAUCAAAUGUUGCUUGAAAAUUGCUUCGGAUUGUUGUUAAAAAAAAAAGCUAAAUGUUAAUAUACAGAAAAACUGAAACUUACAAAAAAAGGUUUUUUUUUUAUUUAGCUUUCAAUAUGAUUUAAAUUGUGUUUUAUAUGUAAUAAAUAAUACCACCACCAAGUGUCACUGUUUCUCAAUCCAGAAAUGAUUCUUAGAUUCAUUUGAAGAAAAGUUUAAAUGGACGGCAGGGUUUAAGCUCUGGCGAGGGCUCCCUCUGGUGGUCAGAGGCAGUAGCUGACGCCCUCCAACCAAUAUCUACACUCACUCUGUGGCUGUGUCCAAAUUCGGGUUCUGCAUCCUCCCGAGGCCGUGGCCUUCGCGAUCUCCGAUGGCCAGAUCCUUCGGAAGCGGGUAGACCGGAUGUUAAAUGCAGUGAAUUUGGACGGUCUAGCCUUGUUGGGUUUUUUUUUUUUUUUUUUAAUAACUUUAUUGGAACAACAAAACAACAAAGUUGCUAGCUACUUUCCUGUAGCCUGGCCACCGUGACUUGAACGUGUUGUGAACGUGAACUAUUAAGCUCCAAAUGAUUCGUUUUUUUUUUUUUUUUUUUUUUAACUUUUGCUUUUGGAGGAGUUGGAGCAGAUCCAUCGCCGUCGCGGGCACUUGGUAUUUUUCCGGCGGAGACAAAACGAUCUGCAGGUACUGUAUACAAACGCUUAAAAAAUCAUCUACAAGCUCUUUUACAUAUUAGCUUUAGCUAGUUUAAUGGAAAUAUUUAUUUAGCCACACUAUUACAGGUUUUAAAAUAUACAAAUACUGAAUUUUUGGGUUUGUCGAUUAUUCAAGUUUUGUUUAUUUCACAAGUUAUUGCAGUAAAUGUAACCUACUAAGUACCUACACUUUUCUGAGAAUAAAAAAACAAGUACAAAAUAACUACAAAGUGUUUUUAUUUUAUUAAUCAUACUACAAUAGUGUUAAAUGUUAAUUUUAUCUUCAGACUUUUAUUGCAGAAAUUAAUUUGAACAAAUUCCCCCUAGUUUUAUUUGAAAUCAGUCAAAGUAGUAUUUAAUUACUCUCAUGGUCACAUAAGUAUAAUGAUGUUUUAUAGUUUAAUAACAAAUUACUUAAAACCACUUUUUUUUUUUUUUUUUUUAAAUAUAAAUGUGUUUGUGUAUUUCCUUUAAACUAGACUAGACUACUGCAAUGCACAACCAGUCUCCCAAUCCUGGAGUGGUUUUCCAACAGUGAAGAUCCAAGACCAGACUUCAGAAAACUGGAACUCUCCUGCAUCUUCCUGAAUCUCCUUGACCAGGAUUGGUGACAUCGGCAUCCUCCUGCAAGUUCUGGAGGUGCAUCACACCUUUGUACCUCAUGUAAGUGAACACAUUACAGCUCUUCAAUAUUCUUUGGAAUACAUUUAUACUUUACAUUAUAUACUUUACAUUUUUUACAAAGCCUGUACAUGUAUUAU